rnacentral:tRNA from 2 species
UGGCUCAUAGUUCAAUGGUAGAACGUCCGACUGUUAAUCGGAGAAUGUAGGUUCGAACCCUGCUGAGCCAGCCA